rnacentral:rRNA from 1 species
ACUCCUACGGGAGGCAGCAGUAGGGAAUCUUCCACAAUGGGCGCAAGCCUGAUGGAGCAACACCGCGUGAGUGAAGAAGGGUUUCGGCUCGUAAAGCUCUGUUGUUAAAGAAGAACACGUAUGAGAGUAACUGUUCAUACGUUGACGGUAUUUAACCAGAAAGUCACGGCUAACUACGUGCCAGCAGCCGCGGUAAUACGUAGGUGGCAAGCGUUAUCCGGAUUUAUUGGGCGUAAAGAGAGUGCAGGCGGUUUUCUAAGUCUGAUGUGAAAGCCUUCGGGCUUAACCGGAGAAGUGCAUCGGAAACUGGAUAACUUGAGUGCAGAAGAGGGUAGGUGGAACUCCAUGUGUAGCGGUAGGAAUGCGUAGAUAUA